UCAUAUUAUUGAACAAAAUAAUUAUACAAACAUUUUCCUCCAAACAAUAGGCAAACAAACCACCCGAAUCGAAAAUGCCAUAAACAAGUUAAAACCAAAUCCUGGAGUUUCCAAGUCUCUUAGCCUCUCUGCUCUUAGCCUCUCUGUUCUCUACAGACCUCUCUGCAACUCCUCUGUUCAUUGUUACCUCUCUGCAACUUCUCUGCAAUCUCUCUGUUCUCUACAGACCUCUUUAGACCUCUCUGCAACUCCUUUGUUCAUUGUUACCUCUCUGCAACUUCUCUGCAAUCUCUUUGUUCUCUACAGACCUCUCUGCAACUCCUCUGUUCACUGUUACCUCUGUGCAACUUCUCUGCAAUCUCUCUGUUCUUUGCAAUCUCUCUCUGUUCUCUAUUCUGUACUCCUCUGUAUAUCUGGUGGUGUAUCUAGCCACCUAAUUUAGUGAGUAUAAAAAUAUUAUGUGUGAUUGUUUUUGGGACGAGGUUCCUGCUUACAUCCCGGAACAAUUAAAGCUUUUCACCAGCUUCUGUAUUUGUCAAAUGUAAGUAUGUUUCAUACUUUAUUGUGAUCGGUUAAUCACUGAGCAUAAUGUCCACUUCCACCAGAAAUUGAAGAUACCCUUCCAAGACCCAAAUCUGAUAUGAAUAUAAUUGAGAAGGUUCAAACUUGCAAAUAUGUAAACUUGGUAGAUAGAAUUAUAACUCAAAAAUGGUUUACCAAUAUCAAAAUUGUGGUACAAAAGGAAUACAGCUUCCAAACCACUGCUUUAAUAGACAUAGGGGCAGAUCUAAACUGUAUUAACGAAGGAUUAAUACCAAUUAAAUAUUUUAGUAAAACCACUCAAAUACUUAAUACGGCAGAUGGCAGUAAAAUGCUUAUAAACUACAAAUUAACAGAUACUACAAUCUGCAAUAAUGGUGCUUGUUUCAACUUUCCAUUCAUUAUGGUGAAAGGCUUAAGACAGCCUGUUAUCCUAGGGACUCCGUUUCUAAAUAUGCUCUACCCAAUAAAAAUAUAUGAUACAAGAAUAGAAGCUAGCAUUGAAG
rnacentral:lncRNA from 1 species